rnacentral:rRNA from 1 species
AAAAUCCGUCGGAAUAAUGCUGGGGUACGAUGCGGAGCGAAAUUAAGUAGCGAAGUAGCUGAUUUCACACUGUCGAGAAAGUCUCUAUCGAGGUUAAAGGUGCCUGUACCGCAAACCGACACAGGUGGGUGAGGAGAGUAUCCUAAGGCCAGCGAGAGAACUGUUGUUAAGGAACUCGGCAAAAUGACCCCGUAACUUAGGGAGAAGGGGUGCCUUCGAAAGAAGGCCGCAGAGAAUAGGCCCAAGCGACUGUUUACCAAAAACAUAGGUUUCUGCCAAGUCGCAAGACGAUGUAUAGGAGCUGACGCCUGCCCGGUGCUGGAAGGUUAAGGGGAUCUGUUAGAGCAAUCGAAGCAGUGAACUUAAGCCCCAGUAAACGGCGGCCGUAACCAUAACGGUCCUAAGGUAGCGAAAUUCCUUGUCGGGUAAGUUCCGACCCGCACGAAAGGCGUAACGAUUUGUGCACUGUCUCAACAACAGACUCGGUGAAAUUGUAAUACCGGUGAAGAUGCCGGUUACCUGCGACAGGACGGAAAGACCCCAUGGAGCUUUACUGUAGCUUGACAUUGAGUCUCGGUGCUACAUGUACAGGAUAGGUGGGAGACUAUGAAGCAUGGACGUCAGUCUGUGUGGAGUCAUCCUUGGGAUACCACCCUUGUAGUACUGGGAUUCUAACCAGAGGCCAUGAAUCUGGUCUUGGGACACUGUCAGGUGGACAGUUUGACUGGGGCGGUCGCCUCCCAAAAAGUAACGGAGGCGCUCAAAGGUUCUCUCAGUACGGUCGGAAAUCGUACGAAGAGUGUAAAGGCAAAAGAGAGCUUGAUUGCAAGACAUACAGGUCGAGCAAGGUCGAAAGUCGGACUUAGUGAUCCGGUGGUUCCGCAUGGAAGGGCCAUCGCUCAACGGAUAAAAGCUACCCUGGGGAUAACAGGCUGAUCUCCCCCAAGAGUCCACAUCGACGGGGAGGUUUGGCACCUCGAUGUCGGCUCAUCACAUCCUGGGGCUGUAGUAGGUCCCAAGGGUUGGGCUGUUCGCCCAUUAAAGUGGUACGCGAGCUGGGUUCAGAACGUCGUGAGACAGUUCGGUCCCUAUCCGUCGCAGGCGUAGGAAAUUUGAGGAGACCUGUCCUUAGUACGAGAGGACCGGGAUGGACGUACCGCUGGUGUACCAGUUGUUCUGCCAAGGGCAUGGCUGGGUAGCUAAGUACGGAAAGGAUAAGCGCUGAAAGCAUCUAAGCGCGAAGCCCACUUCAAGAUAAGAUUUCCCACCGCAAGGUUAAGAUCCCAGGAAGACUACCUGGUUGAUAGGUCAGAGGUGUAAGUGUAGUAAUAUAUUUAGCUUACUGAUACUAAUAGAUCGAGGACUUGAGC